rnacentral:lncRNA from 1 species
ACCUCUAGUCGGAAAAAAAAUAAUACUAUUUUGCUAAAAAUUCAAUGACUCGCUAUAAUUUUGUCGAAAUUACCGCAAAUCCAAAUAGCUUCCAUCAUAUUCUUUCUCCUUCAAAUAUUGCCCUGUUGCAAAAGCAGAGGAUAUUAAGUCCAUAAUAUUAUGAUUUCAUUUUUAUUUUAUUUAAUUUUUUCUUACUAUAUAUUCCUUUCAUGUGCAGAGGAAGUUCAAAGAUUAUUAAUGACAUGAGAUCAACAUCUAUAGUGAAGCUAAAUACAGAAGAAGACCAAAAGCAGGUGAUAAUAGCUGGCUUUGGGAAAAGUUUAAUUGUUCAAAAAUUAAAUAAUGAAAUAAAAUUAUUGGUUAAUUAGAUUUUGAUUGUUUGGUAAUCUGAAACAAGUACUUGGUUUUUGACCUUAACAUUUAUUUUUUGACUUUCAUAACUUUUUCAGUUGGUUGUUGAUAAUGGCAUUGUUUCUGUGACAUUAUCAAGACCCGAGGGGUACAUCCUUGGAAUAUCGUAUAAUGGAAUUGACAAUAUUCUUGAAUCUAAACUCGAAGAACAAGAUAGAGGGUAUGUUCCUAUUUCAUACUCUUUUUUAUAAAAAAAAAAAAUAAUAAAUGAGAUGAUCGGGGUUUGAACUCCGACCUUCGACACAAAAAUACAAUAUCUUAGUAAUUGAGUUAAGCUCACGAGACUGUUCCUGUUUCAUACUACUCCGUAUGUUAGUCAAAUUAAAGAUUGAGUUUAAAUAAUGAAUUAAAGGUUUCAAAUAAAAAUAAGAGUUCAAUGUUUAUGUACUAUUAGGUUCCACAGUAUUAGUAUAUAUGGUUUAUUAUUUCAUAUAUGUUAAAAAAAAUUAUAAAAGUUUAAUUUAUAUACAUUAUUUUACAUGUUAUUUAAUCAUUUUUAGGUACUUCGACGUUGUUUGGAAUGAACCAGAAAAGGUUGGUAAUUUCCAGAGGUAUAACAUUUUACAUUUAAUUUUUAUUUACAUUCAAUAUAAAUUUUUUGUUAUACAUCCAAUCAUAUUUUAUCAUGUACAUAGUUGUAGAAAAUUUUCAUAAACCUAACAUAACAAAGUGUCACCAUAUUUAAUUAUGAUUAUAUACAUAUGCACGUCUUGUGCUUGAAUAGAUGUUUUAAUGUAUUUUUAGACUUUUUCAACAAACAAUUUUAUAAAUAUUUAUGUAAAAAAAAAAUGUCAUGGCAUAAAAAUUUAUCUCUAGUUUUUUUAUUUGUCUUUUCAGUUAAAACAAAUUCUAAGUUGGUGUAUUCCCAAUUAUUGUUUUUAAAGAGAUUUGGACAAAAUGUCAUCCAAGUUAAUAUAUUAAACAAAAGCAUAUUUCCACACCUAAGUGUAUAAUUUAAUAGAUUAAUUUACAAUUGUAACCAUGCUGCAGAGUCCAUGGAACAAACUUUUCAGUUAUAGCAGCUGAUGAGAAUAUGGUGGAGCUUUCAUUUUUAAGAUCAUGGACAUCUUCCAUGAUGGGCAAGGAUGUCCCAAUAAACAUAGACAAAAGGUUGAUUAUUUAAUUUCUUUUAUAGCUGUUACAAUUUUUGAACAAGUUAAUUUGAUUUUUUUUUUUGUUAGGACUAACUAAUAGUGGCUGAAACAAAUUUAUAUAUGCAGAUACAUUUUCAAAAGUGGUGAUUCUGGGUUUUAUUCAUACGUAAUCUUCGAUCGCCCUGAAGGAAUGCCCGCAGCUGAGGUUGAUCAAAUUAGAUAUGUUUACAAACUCGAUGAAGACAGGUAUAAUUAAAAUUGUUUUUUAACUCGAUUAAUUAUUAAGGAGCUUUUUCCACUAUAUAUAUAUAUAUAUAUAUCACACCCAAAAAUUUAAUUUAAUUACUCUUAUCUUUGAUGGUUUCAUAAAAUUACUAUUAGUUUUGUAUAAACAAUAAUUAUAAUAACUACUCACUUNNNNNNNNNNNNNNNNNNNNNNNNNNNNNNNNNNNNNNNNNNNNNNNNNNNNNNNNNNNNNNNNNNNAAGCAUAAAGUUACAUUCUGCAAUCUACCCUUAAUUGAAGUAUACUCAAAUUUUGUCAAAAUAUUUAAUGUGUUAAUGAGAAUAAAGAUUAUUGGAAUAUUAAAUUCAAAAUUUACUUAUACUUCGGAGGGUAAAAUUAAUUAAACUCCUACUAUAUAUUGGACCACUAGAAUAGGGUAAAAUUAAUCAAACUUACUUAUAUGUUGGACCACUAAAAGAGAGUAAAAUUAUCUAAAUUUAUACUUUGCACUUGCACUGCUAAAAUGCGAGAAUAACUCAGUUAGUAGGGACAUUGUGUUAAAAUAUAGACAAGGUAAGUGAAAAUAUAACCAAUUCUACUAAAUUGAACAAUAGUAUAUGGUAAGUGUAAUAUGCAAUUGUAUGCACAAUAAAAAAGGUCCUAAAAUUAUAUCCAACAACAUAUUUUGGAAAAGUGUUUAAAAAACAUUAACAAGUUAGAAAUCAAUUAAUUGCACAGAUUCAAGUACAUGGCAUUAUCUGAUACAAGGCAAAGAAGCAUGCCAUCAAUGAAAGAUAGAGAUACAGGUCAAGUCCUAGCUUACAAAGAAGCAGUUCUAUUAACUAAACCAAGUAACCCAGAAUUUAGAGGAGAGGUAAGUACUUAUUUGGAUUUUCUACUUUUUUAUAUAUGGACUUAUUUUUGGUUAUAAGAUGCACGUGAAUGAAUAUAAAUAUGAAAUGAUUUUGUUGGAUUCAGGUGGAUGAUAAAUAUCAAUACUCAUGUGAGAACACAGAUAACACUGUUCAUGGAUGGAUUAGUUUUGAUUCUUCUGAUGCACCCCCCAUUGGAUUUUGGAUGAUAACACCAAGUAAUGAGUUUCGCAAUGGUGGGCCCACUAAGCAAGAUCUUACUUCUCAUGUUGGGCCCUACACACUCUCGGUAUGUUCCAACUUUUAUUAUUAUUUUCUAUAAAAAUAAAAUAAAAUCAGUAUAUAGUAUAUACUAAUAUACUAGUAUAGUGUAGAAUGUGGUAAUUAUUCUUUGGUAAUGAAACAAAAUAUUUAUAACGAUUGAGAUUAAGUGUUGACAAUCUUGGUCCCCACAUAUACACAAAUUACAAACUAUAUGCCCAAUUAAAAUUAAAAUUCAUAAUGUACCAAAAAAAAAUAUAUAUUAAAAUUCAUAAACAAUUAUCAAUAUGGUACACCACAUUUUCCACGAGCAAGUCUUUACUUGGACAUCACCUCAAAUAAAAAUAUUUUGGCACACUCACACAAUUGAGUAAAAAUAAAAGCUAAAUAAUUAAGUCACAUCAUCUAAUAAUAACUAUUUCUUUUAUCUUUUAUUUUUUUUACUUUAUGUAUAUGUGCCUAAACAUAAUAUAUUUAGUAUUUAUCAAAAAAAAAUAAAAAUAUAUUUAGUGUUGUGCCCCAUUUGCCACAUAUUUAGAUUCUUUAACCAUAUGGUUAGGAUUUAGGAAUUUGAUCUUCCACAUGUAUAUAUAGAAGAGAUGAGAUUGUAUGAUAAAUAAAUAAUAGUGCAUGUUUGGAUUCACCCACUGGAGAACUAAUAGUUAUUUUGAAGAUUUAAAAUUAAUUUUGGUAUAUCCUGAACUUUUCAACUUGUCCUGAAUUUUGUACAUUUUGUCUGCAAUUGUGAUUUUUACGGUUAAAUGAUUGUUCAACUUAUUUCCAUGUGAAAAUAUCCUAAAAUAAAUCAUUUCACCUUAAACUUACUUUUAGUCAAAAAAAAAAAACUAUAAUCAAUCUUACAACAACAAUUCAAUCUUCAGCAAUGAAUCUCCAAAGUCCAAACUUAGCUUGUCUAAUCUAAACAUUUUUUCACCAAAAGAAAUCUUAGGUUACAUGAGUUUAGCUCAGUUGGCAGGAACAUUGCAUUAUAUAUGCAUGGGUCGUGAUUCAAAUCUCGAACACCCCAUUUAUUCACCUUAAGGGUAAAAUCUCUAGUCAUUAAGCUGUUUGACAAAAAAAAGUAAAUUAGCCUCUUAAAUGGAUAAAUUUCUCGAUUUCUUGAGUGAUUAGCUCAGAACUCAAUAAUACCCCUUAAAAUCCACAAAUAAUUCUUGGCCAGGAUCUAUUAAGAUCAGUCAUAAACACCAACAAAGUAGUUCACAAGUUGUAUAUUCGUGCAUGCACACAAGUCGCGUAGUGUUGAUUAUCAUAUUAAAAAACACAAGUAUAUAAUAGAAAUGUCUAAAAAUUUGUUAAAAAUGUUGUAGUAUAAGUGAAAUUAUUGAAAUAUAAUACUUGAUUUGCACAUUUUGUUUAAGUUUAGAUGUUUGUGAGCACCCACUAUGCUGGCAAGGAAGUAACCAUGGCAUUUCAAGAUGGAGAGACUUAUAAAAAGGUUUUUGGUCCUGUAUUUGUCUACCUUAACACGGAUUCAAAAGAGAAUGAUAAACUAUCUCUCUGGUCAGAUGCUGUACAACAGGUACUAAUAGUUGCUACUCUCUCACAUUACCAGACACAUUGUUAGAUUGCUUAUGUUUAUGACAAAUACUAAUUUGAAUUAGUUCUUUAAACAUUUAAUUAGUUGUCAAAGGAAGUCCAAAGUUGGCCUUAUGAUUUUGUUCAAUCACAAGAUUACUUUCCACCUAAUCAAAGGGGAGCUGUAUUUGGAAGAUUAUUAGUCCAAGAUAGGUACAUGUUAAUAACUUGUUGAAUUUGUAUUUCAUAACAUCAAGCAAUAUAAGUAUUAUUUAAUGUUUCCUUUCAUUUCCUUGCUUAUCAAGGUACUUCAAAGGAGGAAGAUUUCAAUGUACAAAUGCUUAUUUGGGUCUAGCUUUGCCUGGAGAUGCAGGAUCAUGGCAGAGAGAAAGCAAGGUUUGUAUUUACCAGACUACUAUGUAUUUUUUAUGUUUUUUUGGUUCACAAUGGAACGAAUGAGAAUCAAACCUAGGACCUCAUGCAUACUACUCAUGUUCAACCUAUGUCUGUAUUUGAAUAAACAACAUAAUUAUUCGUCUAUGUUCAAACUAUUUUAUGCUAUUCACAGGGCUAUCAAUUCUGGACUCAAGCUAAUGCCAAAGGAUACUUUAAAAUAAAUAAUGUUGUGCCAGGUGAUUAUAAUUUGUAUGGGUGGGUCCCUGGAUUUAUUGGUGAUUACAAAUAUAAUGCUACAAUCACCAUCACCCCAGGUAAAUUAUGUUUUACUCUCUUAUAGAUUUAGCCUAAAAAUUAGUUAUGACUUGGAUAAUUAAAAAAUUACUUCUUUGAACUUGUAGGAGGAAUCAUAAACUUAAGUUCACUUGUAUAUAAUCCUCCAAGAAAUGGACCAACCAUUUGGGAAAUUGGGAUCCCAGAUCGUUUAGCUUCGGAAUUUCAUGUACCUGAUCCGUACCCUAGUCUCAUGAACAAAUUAUACGUCGAACAACGCAAAGACAAGUUAGUACAAAACUCUGCGUUAUUAAAAGCUAUUAUGUUUAAUCUAUAUCUUAAAUUUAUGAUUAUAUAGUAUGUUGAUAGUCCCUACAUAAAUUUACCAAUCUUAGCCCCGCAUAUAGUCAUUAAAACCAAAUUAACGACUGAGAUUGAACAAAAUUUAUGUAUGGAUUAACUAAUCUUAUAAUAUCGUGAAUUUUGUUGAGAUUAAAAAUAUAUUUAACUCUUAAUUUUAUAUUUAGUUCAUUCAAAAUAUAUUUAACUUUUUACAGGUUUAGACAAUACGGAUUGUGGGAACGUUACACUGAUAUGUAUCCAGAUGAUGAUCUUGUUUACACUGUGGGUGUUAACAAGAAUAGGGAUUGGUUUUAUGCUCAAGUCACAAGGUAAUAAUAAAAAAAUUCUGAACAAUAUUGUUAAUUGUUUAUGACUUUUGACACUGAAUUGUAUUGUAAGCAGAAGCACAGAAAAUAAGACAUAUGAGCCAACAACAUGGCAGAUUGUAUUUGAUCAUCAACAUGACAUAAUCAGUGGAAACUACACACUACAACUAGCCUUAGCUAGUGCUGCUGAUGCUGACCUACAGGUACAUACAUCAUUUCUUUGUUUUUUAGUCAAUUUAGUUUAAACAACGGUUCAGUCGAGCACUUUAGUAUGUUAAAUUGAUAAAAAAAUUAUAGAUAAUUGAUCACAUUAAUCUUAUGAAUCAAUUAAUAUAAGGACCCUUAAUAUAAUGUCUAAAAUUGUCCUUUUUAUUACUGUAUGUCUGAAUUGUCUUGGUGUGUUUUUGUUAACCUAGUGGGUUAAUGCUACCUCAUGUUUACGGCCCCUCCCACCGCAGUUUCCCAUAAGCUCUAAUUGUUAUGCAGUCACACGGCGACUUUUCAAAAUAUCAAACAGAUGUUUAGAGAAACUGAUGUAUUGCAAAAUUUUCAAUUUAAGGAAUUAUUAUCUCAAUAUUUUGUUAAAUUAAUAGACAAAUGUAUAAUUCCUACAAUUUGAAGGACUAAAAUAUUUAAUGAUUGAAAUAAAUAACAAUAUAUAAUAUAGUUGAAGAAAUUACAACUAACCUUUUAAAUGGAUGACAUUAUCAGGUUCGGUUCAAUGACCCUAGCAUAUAUCCACCGCACUUUGCGACAGGGCACAUAGGAGGAGACAAUGCCAUAGCAAGGCAUGGAAUUCAUGGAUUGUAUUGGUUGUUCACCAUUGAUGUACCAAGUAAUCUUCUUGUGAAAGGACAGAACAUCAUCUAUCUGAGACAAUCAAAAGCCAUUAACCAAUUUCAAGGAGUUAUGUAUGAUUAUAUCCGUUUAGAACAUCCACCAACAACUUGAUUGUGUUCUACUUCAUGUUGGCACUAUGUAUAGACAAUUAGCCAUCUAUAAUGUGAUUAUGCUUUGUGCAAUUCAAUUAGUUUUUCAUUUUACAUAUAUAGGACAACAUAAGUAUGUAGAAAGAAUUGGUUUAUAGAAUAAAUUACUCAUUUAAAAUCUCAAUUUCAUCAUGUGUCAACAAUUUUUGACAACUCAAGGUAUUAAGGUUUUAAUUUGUGGACUUCAAAUUUGCACAAGGUAUUAAUUAAGGUUUUCAUUUCGAUUUCAUUUCCAAAACUGCUUAAAAAUUCAACAAAAGCUAACAUUAAUAAACUUAAAAGUUAAAAGUUCACAAGAAAAAAGGUGCAAAAUACCUCUUUGAGUCCUGCAACACGCAGCAACUCUGCAUCUUUUUCAGAUAUAAGUUUUCUGGCAUUGCUAAUUUCUUCCUCCACCUUGGUUUGAGAGAGAGGCAAGGCAUACUGAAAAUAAAAACAUGUGGCUAAGUAAGUUGUAUGAAAUAACUCUCAUACAGUACAGAGGUGGAGGGGAGAAGGGGUUAGCAUGAUACCUUAAUAAAUAUUUUCCUUCCUCUAAGCAAUAGAUCCGUAAGAAACAUUUUUUUAACGUUUCAUGUGCUGAUAAAUAAGAUUCACAAAUAACUCAGUUGCUUUUAGCAAGCUAAGAUCUUGUUAAAACAACACACAAAAAACAAAAUCUGUAUUAUGUUAUUAGAUUUGGGACACAUUUGGCUUCACAUGUACACUUAAUUUUUGAACCCCGACGAAAAAUAAAACAAGUUCAAUAUGAUAGUAUAAACUCUACCAAUAUUACAAUCAAAGUGUAUAAAAUUGUACGUCAAAGAUCCUUUAGAAGACUAACCAAUUACCGUCCAGUUUCAAGUUUUAAUAACCUGUCAUAUGUAUGAUGUAUCUAUAAUCGUCAACCUUAAAAAUGACUUGCAUUUUGACAAAAAAUUGAGGAGGCUUAAAUGCUGCCGUUACUCAUAACUGACGGUGGAGACCCUUUAUAAAGUUUCUCUCAUGAAUGAGAGCAUCAUAUUUACAUAUUAAACAAAUAGGAUUUCGCAUUGUAGUUUAUUUUUUGCACCUUUUCACCCUCCAUUAAAAUAGAGUGAAAUCAAACAUCAGGCAUCCGAAAAACUAAUAUUUUAUGUCACGUCUUCUUCCUUUCUUUCUCUCAUCGACUCAUGCCCGCUUGUUUCUGUCUUUCUAUCAUCAUUAAUCUUAGGUCAUUUUAGAAAUGAUCUACUUUUUCCCUGGUGAAUAAAAUGUGCAAAAGCCCAGAGAAAUAACUAUUUUAUGCUAACAAUUUAGGGCAUGGAUGGAAGAAAGUUUAUAUUAGAAUUGAGGUUGGACAUUGCCUAAGUGGGAUAACAAUAAUUGUGGGAUAACAAAAAUCAAAGAAUCAAAAGAGCAUAGUAAUAAGAAAUCUAAAUGCAAAACCAUUUAGUGGCGAAUCCUCGACCGAGCAAUCCAUCCAACAUCUUGGAAGAUUUGUGCAAGUGUCAAACUAGGUAGUCUGACUCAGUGAACAAUUCAAAUCGGAAACUCAGUAAUUCACAACAGCGCCAAUGCUAGAAUUCUCAUAAAAUUACAAUCUAACAUCACACACAUAAAAAGUCAUUAUCAUUGUUACUUUUAACAUUUUCCUCUUUCUAACUACAAUAGAAUGAUUAAAGAAAUAACAUGAGUUGAUAUAACUAAAAUUCAACACUGAAUCAGUCAACAAUAAAAAAAGCAUGGCGAGUCCAUUGAACAUGCAUUGGUAAUUUUCAUUUGAUUGUCAAUACAAGUAUCAUCGCCGUCAUCGUCAACCUCUAACGGUUUGUUGAGAACCUCUAAUACGCACAUAAAUCGACAAAAAAGAAACUAAAAUCAGGAAAUUGAAAACGUACAAACAGUUUUUGCAUGAAUAUACAAACCUUGUUCAUCAUCGAGAUCAAUUGGAUCAACGGGAAGAGGCUUCGAUGGAGAUUUGGAACUAUGUGCAACUGUACAGAAUCAACUAAUGAACUAUUGCAAAUAAUGAAUUGAAAUGGAAUGAAAAUCGAAUGGGAUUAGAAAAAGAUGAAUGACUUACAAGCUUGGAUGAACUCGUACAUUUAUCCACCUUGGCAUUUUAAAAGAGAGGUUUUGGUUAAACUGAUAAAAUGAAUGUCACUAGCUAUCUAUCAUUUUUUGAAAAGAAAAAGCAAUGCAUUAUGCUGAUCAUAGUCAACAGAAUAUAAGGAGGAGUUGAAAUUGCAAUUCCAACAAGUUCAAAACUAAUUCCAACUCAAAAAGGAUUCUUGUUUGAAAGUAACAGCUCAACUAAGUAAUGAACUGUGCCUAACGUUUAGCAGAAUACUAACCAUACAAAUUCAAGUUUAGCAAAAUAAAAAGCUUUACAGUCAAAAGAAGCAUUGUUCAAUGGAUAUUUAAAAACAAAAUCACUCACACAUUUAUUUCUUUUUAUUAAAUAGAGUAAUUCAUUUGUUGGAGUUAAUUUUUUUUUUCAUGCAUAAAAACAUAAAAAAUAAGGUAUUGUUGCUGAGAAAAUAUAUACUUCUUUUCCUUUUCAACAUAAAAAGUACAUCUCGCUAGAAUCAUAUAAUGUAAUUCAGUCCAAUUUUUUACAAAAAAAUGUUUAUUCACAAUAAAGGGUGGGGUAAAACAAUGUUCCAUCAGAAUAUUUUUAACCAACAGAAAAUCAAUUUAUGCAACUAUGAUACUCUAGACAUAUAUGCAUAUACAUUAUACUACACCCAGCAACAAUACACAUCAACUGAACUGUGCCUAAAGUAGAAUCCAUCAUAUUCAACAAAAAAAGAAACAAUAUCAUAUCUAUCAUAGAAUUUACUUGUCGAAACUGAGAGAUUGAAAAAGAGAAAUAGAAUCAGUACCUGUCAAAAGCUUCGAACUGAGAAAUAGAAUCAGUGACUCAGAGAUUGAAGCUUUGUGACUGCGAUUGAAGCUUCGUCACUCGGAAUUGCACUUAAUAAAACCAAUGUGGGAUAACAAUAAAUGUACACACAUCAUGUAGGGCCAAUUUUCAGAAAUUGAUCAUCUACCUUUUCCUUCUCAAUCCAUUCCUUCAGCCGAGACAGCUCCAA